rnacentral:rRNA from 1 species
UACGUAGGGUGCGAGCGUUAAUCGGAAUUACUGGGCGUAAAGCGCACGUAGGCGGCUUGGUAUGUCGGGUGUGAAAUCCCCGGGCUCAACCUGGGAACUGCAUCCGAAACUGCCUUGCUCGAGUAUGGGAGAGGGAAGUGGAAUUUCCGGUGUAGCGGUGAAACGCGUAGAUAUCGGAAGGAACAUCAGUGGCGAAGGCGACUUCCUGGACCAAUACUGACGCUCAGGUGCGAAAGCGUGGGGAGCAAACAGG